AGCAGCCGCGGUAAUUCCAGCUCCAAUAGCGUAUAUUAAAGUUGUUGCAGUUAAAAAGCUCGUAGUUGAAUUUCGGGAUCAGUUCGCUGGUCGUGCCUCUGGUAUGUACUGGUGUUACUGGUUCCUCCCUUCUGACGAACUGUCAUGUCAUUUAUUUGGUGUGGCAGGGAAUCAGGACUGUUACUUUGAAAAAUUAGAGUGUUUAAAGCAGGCUCGCGCUUGAAUACAUUAG
rnacentral:rRNA from 1 species